GCCGGGAUGGCGGAAUCGGUAGACGCACGGGACUCAAAAUCCCGCGGUGGCAACACCAUGGGGGUUCGAUUCCCCCUCCCGGCACCA
rnacentral:tRNA from 2 species